rnacentral:rRNA from 1 species
CCAUUACCCUGGACGGUGGAUCACUUGGCUCGCGGGUCGAUGAAGAACGCAGUUAACUGCGCGUCAUAGUGUGAACUGCAGGACACAUUUGAUCAUCGCACUUCGAA